CCCCCCUCCUCCUUAUCUGCUGGGGUUAGGAUUUCUGCCUAACCCUCCCCCGAUCCGGCAGCCGCCGGCUGCUUAGAUCGCCACCUGCCUCACCAUCAACAAAGAGGCCAACUACUCCAGCCGCCUCACUGCUCGAACGAAGAUGCCUGCACGCCGAGCGGAUCAGGCGAGAUGCAGAGGCAAGCGAGAAGAGGAGCCUCCCGCCUCCUUGAAGUGUGCCACAAGAUAUUCAAUGCCAAGCCACUGCCGGAUAUUCAACGUCGGUGUCUUCCUAUGACGGCCUAUCUUCCCCAGGUUGAUCCUUCCUGAUUUCCUGAGCUGCGGCUGCAAUCAAUUUCCAGGGCAAACUCAUCGCCCAGGCUCCCCCUCGGUCCACGUUCCUUGGGCGAGUGCAGGUCGGCGGAGGAGGAUUUGGCUGGUGAGAGGGUGGGGAGCAAGAAGACGACGCUCAACCAGACCAAGUUUGUCGACAAGGGCAUCCAGGUCAAGCUCACCGGCGACCACCAAGGUGGGGCGCAAGAAGACGACGCUCAACCUGGCCAAGUUCGUCGACAAGGGCAUCCAGGUCAAGCUCACCGACGGCUGCCAAGCAACCGCACAGGUGAGUUGAGGUAGGGUAUAGAGAAGCUGAGCUGCUCGG